rnacentral:rRNA from 1 species
UUAAAAAGCUCGUAGUUGGAUUUCUGUGGGGACGGAGCGGCCGGCCGCAACUCGCGGUUCGAGCUAGCGCUUUCCCUACAUCCUGCCGCGAACCGUGCUACCAUUAGUUUGGUGGCGCCGGGGAUCGGCUCGUUUACUUUGAGAAAAAUAGAGUGUUCAAAGCAGGCCACACGCCUUGAAUAAGUUAGCAUGGAAUAAUAACUAAGGACUUCGGUUCUAUUUUGUUGGUGUUCGGGACUGAAGUAAUGAUUGAUAGGGACAGUUGGGGCGGUCCGUAU